GAUGAACGCUGGCGGUAUGCUUAACACAUGCCAGUCGAACGGACUCUUCGGAGUUAGUGGCGGUCGGGUGAGUAACGCGUGAGAAUCUGGCUUUGGGUUCGGGACAACCACUGGAAACGGUGGCUAAUACCGGAUGUGCCGAUAGGUAAAAGAGGGAUUGUCUGAAGAUGAGCUCGCGGCUGAUUAGCUAGUUGGUGAGGUAAAGGCCCACCAAGCCAGCGAUCAGUAGCUGGUCUGAGUGGAAGACCAGCCACAGGGGGACAGAGACACGGCACAGACGUCUGCGGGGGAGAAGAGUGGAAUAUUGUACGAAGUGGGGGAGAGUGUGACAGAGAAGUACCGCGUGAGAGAAGAGGGCUCUUGUGGUGUACACCUUUUUUCUUAGAGGAGGACAGAGUGACGGUACCUAAUGAAUAAGCAUCGGCUAACUACGUG
rnacentral:rRNA from 1 species